UUUUUCUGAGGUGCGGCCCGCACCUGUCUAACUAAACUAGGGCUACCCUUUUUCAACACGGUUGCAUCGGUUGGGCUUGUCAGACAGCGCGCGCGCAAGCGUGUUCUCGACGGCAGCCUGACACAACACCAAAAACACUUUGGAUGACAUAGGAUUUGAACGAAUUUGUUAUUUAACGGCUGGUAAUGCGGUCGUCUAAAAUUAAAAAACAACUUUUGGCAACGGAUCUCUUGGUUCUCCCAUCGAUGAAGAACGCAGCGAAUUGCGAUAAGUAAUGUGAAUUGCAGAAGUGAAUCAUCGAAUCUUUGAACGCACCUUGCGCUCCCUGCAGAUCUAAUCUGGGGAGCAUGCCUGUUUGAGGGCCGCGAAUUGUUUCGAACGCACGUUUUUUUAAGUAAAGGCUGGCGGAUCGGUAGUGAGGGUUUUUGCCAUUUACCGUGGCUCCCUCGAAAUGCAUUAGUGCAUCCAUUUAAUAGGCAAAGACGGACGAAAGCUCGACUUUUCUCUCUCUCUUCCCUGCCGGGUUUUGAUAAUAUCAGGACUUCGGAGGCGGAGAAAGAGCAAGAGCUGGACGCGACGACUUUUGCUGGUUGGAGUGCUUCUGAACACCGCCCUUUUUUCUUUCUUGGAAAAAAGGAAUUAAUUCAAAUCGGCCUCAGAUUGGUAGGACUACCCGCUGAACUUAAGCAUAUCAAUA
rnacentral:rRNA from 1 species